rnacentral:rRNA from 1 species
CUACGGGAGGCAGCAGUGGGGAAUAUUGCACAAUGGGGGGAACCCUGAUGCAGCAACGCCGCGUGGAGGAUGGCGCAUUUCGGUGUGUAAACUCCUUUUAUAUGUCAAGAAAAUGACGGUAGCAUAUGAAUAAGCACCGGCUAACUCCGUGCCAGCAGCCGCGGUAAUACGGGGGUGCAAGCGUUACUCGGAAUCACUGGGCGUAAAGGACGCGUAGGCGGGUUGGAAAGUCAGGUGUGAAAUCCUACAGCUUAACUGUAGAACUGCACUUGAAACUUCUAAUCUAGAGUAUGGGAGGGGGAGAUGGAAUUUGUGGUGUAGGGGUAAAAUCCGUAGAUAUCACUAGGAAUACCUAAAGCGAAGGCGAUCUCCUGGAACAUUACUGACGCUAAGGCGUGAAAGCGUGGGGAGCAAACAGGAUUAGAUACCCCCGUAGUC